rnacentral:misc_RNA from 1 species
AGGAUAAAAACGUACGCGCUUUUGUUUUGUUCAGUUUUGAAAGAAGCAAUUCUUUCAACUAUAUACUGUUUGUCAUCACGCUGUGAUGAAGCGGUACUUGUUCUUUGAAAACUAGAUAACAGCAAUAAGGCGAAUUUUUGCGUCAAUUUUUUCAAAACACCGAGUAAGAUUUUUUUAUUUUGU